UCUGUGCCAGCAGCAGCGGUAAUACAGAGGCCACAAGCGUUAGACGGAAUCACUGGGCUUAAAGCGUGUGUAGGCGGGAUGGUAAGUACUUUGUGAAAUCCCACAGCUUAACUGUGGAAUUGCUUGGUAUACUGCCGUUCUUGAGUCACCUAGGGGCAGCUGGAACAGAUGGUGGAGCGGUGAAAUGCAUAGAUAUCAUCUGGAACGCCAAUGGUGCAGACAAGCUGCUGGGGGUGUACUGACGCUGAGGCACGAAAGCCAGGGGAGCAAACGGGAUUAGAUACCCCGGUAGUCCUGGCCCUAAACGAUGUCCACUAGAUCGUGGCGGUUUUGACGCCGUCAUGGUCGAAGCAAAAGUGUUAAGUGGACCGCCUGGGAAGUACGGUCGCAAGGCUAAAACUCAAAGGAAU
rnacentral:rRNA from 1 species